UACGUAGGGGGCUAGCGUUGUCCGGAAUCAUUGGGCGUAAAGCGCGUGUAGGCGGCCAGGUAGGUCCGAUGUGAAAUCUGGAGGCUCAACCUCCAGCGGUCAUUGGAAACCAUCUGGCUAGAGUCCGGAAGAGGAGAGUGGAAUUCCUGGUGUAGCGGUGAAAUGCGCAGAUAUCAGGAAGAACACCGAUGGCGAAGGCAGCUCUCUGGGACGGUACUGACGCUGAGACGCGAAAGCGUGGGGAGCGAACAGG
rnacentral:rRNA from 1 species